rnacentral:rRNA from 1 species
UACGGGGGGAGCAAGCGUUGUUCGGAUUUACUGGGCGUAAAGGGCGCGUAGGCGGUCAGCACAAGUCAGUUGUGAAAUCUCCGGGCUUAACUCGGAAAGGUCAACUGAUACUGCGGGGCUAGAGUGCGGAAGGGGCAACUGGAAUUCUCGGUGUAGCGGUGAAAUGCGUAGAUAUCGAGAGGAACACCUGCGGCGAAGGCGGGUUGCUGGGCCGACACUGACGCUGAGGCGCGAAAGCCAGGGGAGCGAACGGG